UUAUGAAAAUGGUCUAUGUAAGA
rnacentral:siRNA from 1 species